UACGAAGGGGGCUAGCGUUGCUCGGAAUGACUGGGCGUAAAGGGCGCGUAGGCGGUUUGGACAGUCAGAUGUGAAAUUCCUGGGCUCAACCUGGGGCUGCAUUUGAUACGUUCGGACUAGAGUGGGGAAGAGGGUCGUGGGAAUUCCCAGUGUAGAGGUGAAAUUCGUAGAUAUUAGGGAAGAACACCGGGUGGCGAAGGCGGCGAACCUGGUCCUUGACUGAC
rnacentral:rRNA from 1 species